rnacentral:rRNA from 1 species
UGAUCCUGGCUCAGAAUGAACGCUGGCGGCAUGCAUAACACAUGCAAGUCGAACGAGUAUGGACCUAGCUUGCUAGGAACCCAGCUAGUGGCAAACGGGUGAGUAACGCGUGGGAACCUACCUUGUAGUAUGGAAUAGUCCCGGGAAACUGGGUUUAAUACCAUAUACGCUCUUCGGAGGAAAGAUUUAUCGCUAUAAGAUGGGCCCGCGUUAGAUUAGUUUGUUGGUGAGGUAAUGGCUCACCAAGACUACGAUCUAUAGCUGGUUUGAGAGGAUGAUCAGCCACACUGGAACUGAGACACGGUCCAGACUCCUACGGGAGGCAGCAGUGGGGAAUAUUGGACAAUGGACGAAAGUCUGAUCCAGCAAUACCGCGUGAGUGAUGAAGGCCUUAGGGUUGUAAAACUCUUUCAGUAGGGAAGAUAAUGACGGUACCUGCAGAAGAAGCACCGGCUAACUCCGUGCCAGCAGCCGCGGUAAUACGGAGGGUGCAAGCGUUGUUCGGAAUUACUGGGCGUAAAGCGUGCGUAGGCGGUUUUACAAGUUGGGAGUGAAAUCCCGGGGCUCAACCUCGGAAUUGCUCUCAAAACUGUAAGACUAGAGUAUGGUAGGGGAUAGUAGAAUUCCUAGUGUAGGGGUGAAAUCCGUAGAUAUUAGGAGGAACACCAGAGGCGAAAGCGACUGUCUGGACCAUUACUGACGCUAAGGUACGAAAGCGUGGGGAGCGAACGGGAUUAGAUACCCCGGUAGUCCACGCCGUAAACGAUGGGUGCUAGAUAUUGGGGGACCUAGUCCGGUGCCGCAGCUAACGCAUUAAGCACCCCGCCUGGGGAGUACGGUCGCAAGAUUAAAACUCAAAGGAAUUGACGGGGACCCGCACAAGUGGUGGAGCAUGUGGUUUAAUUCGAUGCUACGCGAAGAACCUUACCACCUUUUGACAUCGGGAUCGCCGGGCUUGUAAUGCUUCCUUCAGUUCGGCUGGACCCCGCACAGGUGCUGCAUGGCUGUCGUCAGCUCGUGUCGUGAGAUGUUGGGUUAAGUCCCGCAACGAGCGCAACCCUCGUCUUCAGUUGCCAUCAGGUUAAGCUGGGCACUCUGAAGAAACCGCCGGUGACAAGCUGGAGGAAGGUGGGGAUGACGUCAAGUCCUCAUGGCCCUUAUGGGCUGGGCUACACACGUGCUACAAUGGCGGUGACAACGGGACGCUAAGGGGCAACCUGGAGCUAAUCCCCAAAAACCGCCUCAGUUCGGAUUGUUCUCUGCAACUCGAGAGCAUGAAGUCGGAAUCGCUAGUAAUCGUGGAUCAGCAUGCCGCGGUGAAUACGUUCCGGGCCUUGUACACACCGCCCGUCACACCAUGGGAGUUGGUUUUACCCGAAGCCGGUGCGCUAACCGCAAGGAAGCAGCCGACCACGGUAAGGUCA